CGUCCCCGGGGCCGACUCCGGAGCGCAGGCGGGCAUCCGGGCUGGCGGCGCGGCGCGGGCCAGCGGGAAGCGUGUUCUGGGCACGGGGCGCCGGGCCGGAUCGGCUGCUCAGGGCGGCAGUAGUGGGAGGCUGCCCAAGGCCUCGCGCGGCGCCGCCCGUCGAGGGGCGGGCGGCGGGGGACCGACCCGGCCGUCGAAGGGCGCAGGAGGCCGGUGGGCCGGGCCAGGCCUUGCGGCGCAGCCAUGCCAGGCUUUACGUGCUGCGUGCCAGGCUGCUACAACAACUCGCACCGGGACAAGGCGCUGCACUUUUACACGUUUCCCAAGGACGCUGAGUUGCGGCGCCUCUGGCUCAAGAAUGUGUCCCGUGCUGGCGUCAGUGGGUGCUUCUCCACCUUCCAGCCCACCACGGGCCACCGUCUGUGCAGCGUUCACUUCCAGGGUGGCCGCAAGACCUACACGGUGCGGGUCCCCACCAUUUUCCCGCUGCGCGGCGUCAACGAGCGCAAAGUAGCGCGCAGACCCGCGGGUGCCGCGGCUGCCCGCCGUCGCCAGCAGCAGCAGCAACAGCAACAGCAGCAGCAGCAGCAGCAACAGCAGCAGCAACAACAGCAGCAGUCGUCGUCGCCGUCCACCUCCACUGCCCAGACCUCCCAGCUGCAGCCGAACCUGGUGUCUGCCUCUGCAGCCGUGCUCCUCACCCUUCAGGCUGCUGUAGACAGUCAGGCUCCAGGAUCUGUGCCACCGGCGCCCAUCACUCCCACCGGCGAAGACGUGAAGCCCAUAGACCUUACAGUGCAAGUGGAGUUUGCGGCCGCAGAGGGCGCAGCCGCUGCGGCCGCUGCGUCGGAGCUACAAGCUGCUACGGCAGGGCUGGAGGCCGCCGAAUGCCCUAUGGGCCCCCAGUUGGUGGUGGUAGGGGAAGAAGGCUUCCCUGAUACGGGCUCCGACCACUCUUACUCCUUGUCUUCAGGCACCACUGAGGAGGAGCUCCUGCGCAAGCUGAACGAGCAGCGGGACAUCCUGGCGCUGAUGGAAGUGAAGAUGAAAGAGAUGAAGGGCAGCAUCCGCCACCUGCGUCUCACGGAGGCCAAGCUGCGCGAAGAACUGCGCGAGAAGGAUCGGCUGCUUGCCAUGGCUGUCAUCCGCAAGAAGCAUGGAAUGUGAGCGCAUCCCCCCCGCGCGGCCUGCAGGACUCGUGGACCCCUUCUAGCCCAGGGGAACCUCAAGCCGCUAUUGAACUCCUCUGUACUCCUGGGGUGCUGGUUGACAGCACUGAGGCUUAGGGCAGCUGGACUCUUGCUAGUGAUCUGGCACCCUCACUUGUUUUCUCUUGCAGUGGGGGCUGGGGCCUCAGACUGCACUGGUGACACCAGCAAUUAUGACUUUGUCUACCUUCCCUCUCCAGUUUAUUUUACAGAUUCUGGUUAAACAGAGGCUUCAGAACCACUGAACUUGAAACUUACCCUAUAGGGAUGCAGGUGCAGCCUGUGAUUUUGAUGGG